AUGAAACUGUCAAUCACUCAAAAAUCAACAGAAGAAAUUUGAAGAUGAAGUGCACAAGAUGUGAUCAAUUUGGGCACAACAUAAGAGGAUGCAAAAGUCAACCAAAAAAAACCAUAGGGGUGAAAACCAGGAUCAGGAAGCAAUCUUCAAAGAGAAAGGGACCUGCAGGUACAAGAAUUGCUCCGCCCAUGGAAACUAGCAACAACAGCUCCACCAACAACACUCCAGGAGCAGGGACGAGAGGAAUGGCACCUACUUUAGGUUCUCAACACUCCAACAACCCCACUGCCUAGAGCAUGUGAAUGUGUAAAGACUUUGUAUUGUAAUGUGAAGUGGACCACACUUUUGUAAUAUGGAGUGGUCCACACUAUUAUUGGGUGAAGUGUUCUGGAAUUGUGGUCCACCGCUUUUAAAUAUUUUGGCCCAACUUUUGUAAUAUUUUUUGCUUUUAAAUAUUGUGGUACAACUUUUGAUACAAUACUGUAUGCCACCACUUUCAACAGCUUUUAUUACUUUA